rnacentral:tRNA from 1 species
CAGGAGAUAGUUAAUAUAUAACAUUAAUUUUGGAGAUUAAAAUAAUUUUUUAUUUCUCCUGA